rnacentral:rRNA from 1 species
AGCGAACGCUAGCGGCAGGCUUAAUACAUGCAAGUCGAGGGGCAGCAUGAUUGUAGCAAUACAAUUGAUGGCGACCGGCAAACGGGUGCGGAACACGUACACAACCUUCCAACAAGUGGGGGAUAGCCCAGAGAAAUUUGGAUUAAUACCCCGUAACAUAGCGAUGUGGCAUCACAUUGCUAUUAUAGAUUUUUCGCUUGUUGAUGGGUGUGCGGCUGAUUAGAUAGUUGGCGGGGUAACGGCCCACCAAGUCUACGAUCAGUAGCUGAUGUGAGAGCAUGAUCAGCCACACGGGCACUGAGACACGGGCCCGACUCCUACGGGAGGCAGCAGUAAGGAAUAUUGGACAAUGGACGCAAGUCUGAUCCAGCCAUGCCGCGUGAAGGAUUAAGGUCCUCUGGAUUGUAAACUUCUUUUAUAAGGGACGAAAAAAGGCUUUUCUAAGUCGUCUGACGGUACCUUAUGAAUAAGCACCGGCUAACUCCGUGCCAGCCGCCGCAGUAAGAC